AGCCAAAAACCUAGCCCUAUAAAAUCUUAUGCCUCCUUACUUUUACCCUAAAAACUAAAACAUUCAAUUAACCCAGUAAAGGCGAUUAAAAAGUUACUUAGAGCUAUAACUGUAGUACCGCAAGGAAAAGAUGAAAUAAAAAUGAAAUAAAUUUUAAGCCGAAAAAAGUAAAGACACACACUUGUACCUUUCGCAUCAUGGUUUAACUAGUCCAACUAAGCAAAAAGAAUUUUAGUUUAACCCCCCGAAACUAGACGAGCUACUUCGAGGCAGCUUAAUGAGCGAACCCGUCUCUGUUGCAAAAGAGUGGGAUGACCCCCAAGUAGCGGUGACAGACCUAACGAGUCUAGUGAUAGCUGGUUACUUAAAAAAAGGAUUUUAGUCCUGCCUAAAGCACCCUAAAUUAGUAUAAAUAACCCUUAUGCUUUAGAGUUACUCAAAUAAGGUACAGCCUGUUUGAAACUAGGAUACAACCUCAACUAAAGGGUAACUUUUUAUCCCCAAUAAAACAAGUGGGCCUAAAAGCAGCCACCUUUAAAAUAGCGUCAAAGCUUACUUUAAUCUAGAUAAAAUAACUUCAUUAUCCCCAAACCCUUUAUUUAUAUUAAGCCCAUCUAUAAAAUUAUAGAAGUAAUUAUGUUAAAACUAGUAAUAAGAAGAAGACCUUCUCUUAAAUGCAACUGUAAGCCAGAAAGGACAAACCACUGACAAUUAUGCCGCGAAUGAACAUAAAACAGUAACUUUUCAAGAAAACCCUGUUUAAUCGAACGUUAACCUAACACCAGAGCAUUUCAAGAAAGAUUAAAAGAAAAAGAAGGAACUCGGCAAACAAAUUAACCUCGCCUGUUUACCAAAAACAUCGCCUCUUGACCCCUAUAAGAGGUCCAGCCUGCCCAGUGACCUAGUUCAACGGCCGCGGUAUCCUAACCGUGCGAAGGUAGCGUAAUCACUUGUUCUUUAAAUGAGGACUAGUAUGAAUGGCACCACGAGGGUUAAACUGUCUCCUCUUUCUAAUCAAUGAAACUAAUCUCCCCGUGAAGAAGCGGGGAUGAACACAUAAGACGAGAAGACCCUAUGGAGCUUCAAACUACAUAGCAUCAGCCUUACACCCAUAAAUUCCAGAACAAUAAAAAUUACCCUGGCUGUUAUGACUAUUAGUUUUAGGUUGGGGUGACCGCGGAGUAUAAAUCAACCUCCACCUUGAAUGGAAAAUCCCUGAGCAAAAAGCUACAACUUUAAGCACCAACAAAUUGACAUUAAUUGACCCAAUAACUUGAUCAACGAACCAAGUUACCCUAGGGAUAACAGCGCAAUCCAUUUCAAGAGCCCCUAUCGACAAAUGGGUUUACGACCUCGAUGUUGGAUCAGGGUAUCCCAGUGGUGCAGCCGCUACUAAUGGUUCGUUUGUUCAACGAUUAAAACCCU
rnacentral:rRNA from 2 species